UGAGGAAUAUUGGUCAAUGGACGAGAGUCUGAACCAGCCAAAUCGCGUGAAGGAAGACUGCCCUACGGGUUGUAAACUUCUUUUGUACAGGAAUAAAAGACAUUACGUGUAAUGUAUUGCAUAUACUGUACGAAUAAGCAUCGGCUAACUCCGUGCCAGCAGCCGCGGUAAUACGGAGGGUGCGAGCGUUAUCCGGAUUUACUGGGUUUAAAGGGUGCGUAGGUGGGCUUAUAAGUCAGUGGUGAAAUCUCCGAGCUUAACUUGGAAACUGCCGUUGAUACUAUAGGUCUUGAAUUAUCUGGAGGUAAGCGGAAUAUGUCAUGUAGCGGUGAAAUGCUUAGAUAUGACAUAGAACACCAAUUGCGAAGGCAGCUUACUACAUAUAAAUUGACGCUGAGGCACGAAAGCGUGGGGAUCAAACA
rnacentral:rRNA from 1 species